rnacentral:tmRNA from 1 species
GGGGACGACAUUGGUUUCGACUGUUGUUGGCUUGGGUUCAGUGGCACGUAGAGGUGAGGGUCCUGCUUAAUAACCUUCAAAACAAUAACUGCAAAUAACGAAUUUGCUCUAGCAGCUUAAUUUAAGCUCUACGGUUUCAUUGGCUGUUUCUUCUGGUGGCCAAGAAACCGACACCUCUCAGAAGACUAUCGCAAGUUGUUUUCGGCUUCGACCGCGGUAGAACUUUAAGCUGGAUAGGAAGGAUUCCCCCGAUUGCAGGGCAAGGCCGUCCGAAUUUUAUAUGCAAUCUAAACGUGUAGAAGCUGCAUUUGAGGGCGAUAGGACCCGGGUUCGACUCCCGGCGUCUCCAA